rnacentral:rRNA from 1 species
UCUUUCANUAGGGACGAAGCGCAAGUGACGGUACCUAUAGAAGAAGGACCGGCCAANUACGUGCCAGCAGCCGCGGUAAUACGUAGGNUCCGAGCGUUNUCCGGAAUUACUGGGCGUAAAGAGNUCGUAGGUGGUUUGUCGCGUUGUUCGUGAAAACUCACAGCUUAACUGUGGGCGUGCGGGCGAUACGGGCAGACUAGAGUACUGCAGGGGAGACUGGAAUUCCUGGUGUAGCGGUGGAAUGCGCAGAUAUCAGGAGGAACACCGGUGGCGAAGGCGGGUCUCUGGGCAGUAACUGACGCUGAGGAGCGAAAGCGUGGGGAGCGAACAGGAUUAGAUACCCUGGUAGUCCACGCCGUAAACGGUGGGUACUAGGUGUGGGUUUCCUUCCUUGGGAUCCGUGCCGUAGCUAACGCAUUAAGUACCCCGCCUGGGGAGUACGGCCGCAAGGCUAAAACUCAAAGGAAUUGACGGGGGCCCGCACAAGCGGCGGAGCAUGUGGAUUAAUUCGAUGCAACGCGAAGAACCUUACCUGGGUUUGACAUGCACAGGACGCCAGUAGAGAUAUUGGUUCCCUUGUGGCCUGUGUGCAGGUGGUGCAUGGCUGUCGUCAGCUCGUGUCGUGAGAUGUUGGGUUAAGUCCCGCAACGAGCGCAACCCUUGUCUCAUGUUGCCAGCACGUUAUGGUGGGGACUCGUGAGAGACUGCCGGGGUCAACUCGGAGGAAGGUGGGGAUGACGUCAAGUCAUCAUGCCCCUUAUGUCCAGGGCUUCACACAUGCUACAAUGGCCGGUACAAAGGGCUGCGAUGCCGUGAGGUGGAGCGAAUCCUUUCAAAGCCGGUCUCAGUUCGGAUCGGGGUCUGCAACUCGACCCCGUGAAGUCGGAGUCGCUAGUAAUCGCAGAUCAGCAACGCUGCGGUGAAUACGUUCCCGGGCCUUGUACACACCGCCCGUCACGUCAUGAAAGUCGGUAACACCCGAAGCCGGUGGCCUAACCCUU